ACGCUGGCCUCAUGUUCGCUGGCGUAGCCGGCAGCAUGCCCAGGCAGUCGAGACCUUCGAGACUGCGGUGCGGUUCAUCGCACUGGUUGCUCUGUUGCUCCAGCGCAUGUCGUGCCAUCCACCCAACCCACAGGGGACAUCCUCCCUUGCGGGCGG
rfam:Pseudomonas sp. G5(2012) strain G5 PG5_63, whole genome shotgun sequence.